UGGGGAUAUUGGACAAUGGGCGCAAGCCUGAUCCAGCCAUGCCGCGUGAGUGAUGAAGGCCCUAGGGUUGUAAAGCUCUUUCACCGGUGAAGAUAAUGACGGUAACCGGAGAAGAAGCCCCGGCUAACUUCGUGCCAGCAGCCGCGGUAAUACGAAGGGGGCUAGCGUUGUUCGGAUUUACUGGGCGUAAAGCGCACGUAGGCGGACUUUUAAGUCAGGGGUGAAAUCCCGGGGCUCAACCCCGGAACUGCCUUUGAUACUGGAAGUCUUGAGUAUGGUAGAGGUGAGUGGAAUUCCGAGUGUAGAGGUGAAAUUCGUAGAUAUUCGGAGGAACACCAGUGGCGAAGGCGGCUCACUGGACCAUUACUGACGCUGAGGUGCGAAAGCGUGGGGAGCAAACAGG
rnacentral:rRNA from 1 species